UGAGUAACUAUCUAAUUAACCAGUACUCCUGAGAAUAAAAAAUUCAGUGUGGGGAAGGUGAAGUACCUUUCUGCUCUUCCCUUUUCUCUUGCAGGACCUUAUGCACCAAAGCACAGAUCUCUCUCUACCAUUGUCUUCUGUGCAGACAAGCUGCUGGAGGGGAAUGCAAUGAACUUGCCAAUGUGUUUAAAAGUGGACUUGGCCAAAGGGCCUGAUCCUGAGAGGUUCUGGAUACCCACAGGAGGAAGCACUGGUCCUGCACUUGUAACAGAUUGCAGGCAGAGUUAGCAUCCCAGUGCAAGUGCAGCAGCAAGUAUAAAGAGCCUAGCGGAAAGAGGAAGAUGUCUGUUCCCAGAGAUUACUUGGCUUGUGGGGAAAAGGAAUUGAGGGACCGGCCCUGGCCUGACAUGCUGGAGUCGAGAGGCACAGAAGGGGG